AUUGAACGCUGGCGGCAGGCCUAACACAUGCAAGUCGAACGAGUGGCGGACGGGUGAGUAAUGUCUGGGAAACUGCCCGUUGGAGGGGGCUAACUACUGGAAACGGUAGCUAAUACCCCAUACCAUCGGAUGUGCCCAGAUGGGAUUAGCUAGUAGGUGGGGGAAUGGCUCACCUAGGCGACUAUCCCUAGCUGGUCUGAGAGGAUGACCAGCAACACUGGAACUGGGACCCGCUCCAGACUCCUACGGGAGGCAGCCGUGGGGAAUAUUGCUCACUGGGUGCAAUCGUAGAGCAGCCAUGCCGCGGGUAUGAGGAAGGCCUGCGGGUUGUAAAGGAUUUUUAUCGUGAAGGCGGUACCCGCAAAAGAAGCGCCGGCUAACUACGUGCCAGCAGCCGCGGUAAUUC
rnacentral:rRNA from 1 species